GAUGGACGCUGGCGGCGUGCCUAAUACAUGCAAGUCGAGCGAACAGACGAGGAGCUUGCUCCUCUGACGUUAGCGGCGGACGGGUGAGUAACACGUGGACAACCUACCUAUAAGACUGGGAUAACUUCGGGAAACCGGAGCUAAUACCGGAUAAUAUAUUGAACCGCAUGGUUCAAUAGUGAAAGACGGUUUUGCUGUCACUUAUAGAUGGAUCCGCGCCGCAUUAGCUAGUUGGUAAGGUAACGGCUUACCAAGGCAACGAUGCGUAGCCGACCUGAGAGGGGGAUCGGCCACACUGGAACUGGGACACGGUCCAGACUCCUACGGGAGGCAGCAGUAGGGAAUCUUCCGCAAUGGGCGAAAGCCUGACGGAGCAACGCCGCGUGAGUGAUGAAGGUCUUCGGAUCGUAAAACUCUGUUAUUAGGGAAGAACAAAUGUGUAAGUAACUAUGCACGUCUUGACGGUACCGAAUCAGAAAGCCACGGCUAACUACGUG
rnacentral:rRNA from 1 species